GAUGAAGAACGUAGCGAAAUGCGAUAAGUAAUGUGAAUUGCAGAAUUCAGUGAAUCAUCGAAUCUUUGAACGCACAUUGCGCCCCUGGUAUUCCGGGGGGCAUGCCUGUCCGAGCGUCAUUACAACCCUCAAGCUCAGCUUGGUGUUGGGCCCCGCCGCCCCGGCGGGCCCUAAAGUCAGUGGCGGUGCCGUCCGGCUCCGAGCGUAGUAAUUCUUCUCGCUCUGGAGGUCCGGUCGUGUGCUCGCCAGCAACCCCCAAUUUUUUUCAGGUUGACCUCGGAUCAGGUAGGGAUACCCGCUGAACUUAAGCAUAUCAAUAAGCGGAGGA
rnacentral:misc_RNA from 1 species